rnacentral:tmRNA from 1 species
UUUAUUGCGUUUUUAAUGGAUUCGUGUAUAAUAGUAUUGUUAUCUUUUGGUAACUAUGGUGAUAAACGUCGUGAAAAAUAGAUGGCGUGGACCUGGGGGCAGAGCCCAGCACCUCCACCAUUUUUAUGGGGGUGAAUAGAUUCGACAUGCAUUGAAAAACUCGACUUUUACCCGUGUUGGUUUACGUUAUAGAACCGAAUAACUUAAAUGCGACAAUUAUUAGUCGUUCUGAAGUGAGCAAUGACAAUUUUGUUAAUGACAAUGCUGUUGUUGUAGAAGCUAUCCGGGAGCCAGUGGCUUUCGCAGCCUAAAACACUUCGCGGUUUGGGGAGCCGGGCAACAGAAUUCCCCGCU